GAAUUUUAUGCGCGAGUUAUGUAUGUUCCCUGUGUGAGAACUGAACCCAACAGAAAGGGGAUAAGGAGCAAGAGCGAGCAACGAAGGAAGAGAGAAAGAAACAAACAUGGCUUCUACUUCCAUUAACACUUUCACUGGUUUUGUUGGAUGGAAAUCUUCUUCUUUGUUUCCACAUUCUAAUGCCUUAAACGCUACACUCUCACUCCCUUUCAACCCAAAACGGCACUUCUCCGUUACUUGCUCCGCCUCUUCUUCCGAUCCUCUGCUGGUGAAGGCUGCCAGAGGAGAACCUGUUAGUCGGCCACCAGCAUGGAUGAUGCGCCAGGCGGGAAGGUACAUGGCUGUUUACAGAAAGCUUGCUGAGAAAUAUCCAUCCUUUCGAGAGAGGUCGGAGACAACUGAUCUCAUUGUGGAAAUUUCUUUGCAGCCUUGGAAUGCCUUUAGGCCUGAUGGAGUGAUCAUUUUCUCUGACAUCCUUACGCCUCUUCCUGCAUUUGGGGUCGAAUUCGACAUUGAAGAUGUAAGGGGUCCUGUUAUUCAGUCCCCAAUACGCUCCGAGGAGGGAUUAAAGGCUCUGCAUCCAAUUGACCUGGAAAAGCUCAGUUUUGUUGGAGAUUCACUCAAGAUACUGCGCAGGGAGGUUGGUGGUGAUGCUGCCGUUUUAGGUUUCGUGGGAGCACCUUGGACAAUAGCAACAUAUAUAGUGGAAGGGGGUACGACACGCACCUAUACAACCAUUAAGAGUAUGUGCCAUACAGCGCCACAUUUAUUGCGGACUCUACUCUCUCAUUUGGCGCAAGCAAUAGCAGAUUAUGUUGUUUUCCAAGUGGAGUCUGGGGCUCACUGCAUACAAAUAUUUGAUUCAUGGGGUGGACAACUACCACCUGAUAUGUGGGAACGCUGGUCAAAGCCUUAUAUCAAAGAGAUUGUAGAUUUGGUCAAGAAAAGAUGCCCCGAGACACCGAUUGUUCUUUAUAUAAAUGGAAAUGGUGGCCUCCUUGAGCGUAUGAAAGAUACUGGAGUUGAUGUUAUUGGCCUGGACUGGACUGUGGAUAUGGCAGAUGGAAGAAGAAGAUUGGGUAGUGGAAUAGGUGUGCAGGGAAAUGUGGACCCUGCCUACUUAUUCUCCCCACUUCCUGCCCUCGCUGAAGAAAUUCAGAGGUUGGCAAUUUAAUAUCUUUUUAACUCUUGACAUUCUUCAUUCUCGAUAGUCAUAUUCUUUACCUGUUCAGCCUGCAUUUCCCCCAUGUUCAUGAUUCAGAUCCAGUGCGAUUGUCAAGGGUUGUGAGGUGUGCCGGGCCUAGACGGCACAUCCUUAAUCUCGGGCAUGGUGUUCUUGUUGGCACACCUGAAGAAGCUGUUGCACAUUUCUUUGAAGUUGCUAGGAGCUUGAAGUUUGAUACACUUUUUCAAAACAAAUCUGCAGAAGAUCCUAGAUUGGUAGCUUAAGGACAAAUGCCACAUUACCUAUGCCAUGUGUAUUGCUUUGGUCUUUGGUGAGUGUAGAAUAGAGCAGGCUAGUCCCUCCUCAUUCUUCUGUAACUUUGUGAUGAUUAGAGGUUGAGGAUUUGCACAUUGAAGUGCCGGCUAACUGAUCAAACUAGAUGCAUUUUCAUUUUGUAUUCUUCUGUAUUUAUUGUGGAAUAUGAUAAUCCAAUGAGGUUCACUUCCAAAUAGUUUGUAU